CCUACGGGUGGCAGCAGUGAGGAAUAUUGGUCAAUGGACGAGAGCCUGAACCAGCCAAGUAGCGUGAAGGAUGACUGCCCUAUGGGUUGUAAACUUCUUUUAUAAGGAAUAAAACGAGGCACGUGUGCCUUUUUGCAUGUACCUUUUGAAGAAGGGUCGGCUAACUCCGUGCCAGCAGCCGCGGUUAUACGUAGGUGGCAAGCGUUGUCCGGAUUUACUGGGUGUAAAGGGCGUGUAGCCGGGAAGGCAAGUCAGAUGUGAAAUCCGGAGGCUCAACCUCCGAAUUGCAUUUGAAACUGGUAUUCUGGAGUACUGGAGAGGCAGGCGGAAUUCCUGGUGUAGCGGUGAAAUGCGUAGAUAUAAGGAGGAACACCAGUGGCGAAGGCGGUCUGCUGGACAGCAACUGACGGUGAGGCGCGAAAGCGUGGGGAGCAAACAGGAUUAGAUACCCUUGUAGUC
rnacentral:rRNA from 1 species